rnacentral:misc_RNA from 1 species
UCAUGCCUUCACUUUGAUAGCGGGAGCACGAGAUGGAAGUUGCUGAUAGCAGGAAAUGAGUGAGGUGACGAAUCCAAAUGCCCCUGUUACCCUUGGAGUGAUCUUCUUGGGUGACAGCUGAAGAAGCCCUACGGCCACCACAACAUCCAUGGCCGCCUUCACCAGUGCUAGCAGCCGUUCAUCCGACUGUUUCAUCUUGCUCUUGUACUGGUCAUUCUCAUAUUUG